GUGAGGAAUUUUCCGCAAUGGGGGAAACCCUGAUCCAGCCAUGCCGCGUGAGUGAAGAAGGCCUUCGGGUUGUAAAGCUCUUUCAGAUGUGAAGAUGAUGACGGUAACAUCAGAAGAAGCUCCGGCUAACUUCGUGCCAGCAGCCGCGGUAAUACGAAGGGAGCGAGCGUUGUUCGGAAUCACUGGGCGUAAAGAGUGCGUAGGCGGUUAUACAAGUCAGGAGUGAAAUCCCAGGGCUCAACCCUGGAAUUGCUUUUGAAACUGUAUAGCUAGAGUCCCGGAGGGGUUAAUGGAAUUCCGAGUGUAGAGGUGAAAUUCGCAGAUAUUCGGAGGAACACCAGUGGCGAAGGCGAUUAACUGGACGGGCACUGACGCUGAGGCACGAAAGCGUGGGGAUCAAACAGGAUUAGAAACCCUGGUAGUCC
rnacentral:rRNA from 1 species